UGGUAAUUCUAGAGCUAAUACAUGCUAAAAACCCCGACUUCGGAAGGGGUGUAUUUAUUAGAUAAAAAACCAAUGCCCUUCGGGGCUCUCUGGUGAAUCAUAAUAACUUAACGAAUCGCAUGGCCUUGCGCCGGCGAUGGUUCAUUCAAAUUUCUGCCCUAUCAACUUUCGAUUGUAGGAUAGAGGCCUACAAUGGUAUCAACGGGUAACGGGGAAUUAGGGUUCGAUUCCGGAGAGGGAGCCUGAGAAACGGCUACCACAUCCAAGGAAGGCAGCAGGCGCGCAAAUUACCCAAUCCCGACACGGGGAGGUAGUGACAAUAAAUACUGAUACAGGGCUCUUUUGGGUCUUGUAAUUGGAAUGAGUACAAUCUAAAUCCCUUAACGAGGAACAAUUGGAGGGCAAGUCUGGUGCCAGCAGCCGCGGUAAUUCCAGCUCCAAUAGCGUAUAUUAAAGUUGUUGCAGUUAAAAAGCUCGUAGUUGAACCUUGGGCCUGGCUGGCCGGUCCGCCUCACCGCGUGCACUGGUUCGGCCGGGCCUUUCCUUCUGGGGAGCCGCAUGCCCUUUACUGGGCGUGUCGGGGAACCAGGACUUUUACUUUGAAAAAAUUAGAGUGUUCAAAGCAGGCCUUCGCUCGAAUACAUUAGCAUGG
rnacentral:rRNA from 1 species